rfam:Camelus ferus unplaced genomic scaffold scaffold83, whole genome shotgun sequence.
GAGGGUGUAGCUCAGUGGUAGAGCGUGUGCGUAGCACGCACGAGGUCCUGGGUUCAAUCCCCAGCACCUCCA